rnacentral:misc_RNA from 1 species
GCGAGUAUGGCCCUCACGGGUCUAAUCCACCACAAACACCUUUGUGAACCAGUCAGGGGGGACUCGGCCGUGAAAGCCCAGGCGAUUAGCGGAGGGGCCCUCCUUUGCAAACCCGUUUAGAAGUCUUGAAAGUACUUUUGUAUAAUCUAGUA